AUGAACGCUGGCGGCGUGCCUAAUACAUGCAAGUCGAGCGAACGGACGAGAAGCUUGCUUCUCUGAUGUUAGCGGCGGACGGGUGAGUAACACGUGGAUAACCUACCUAUAAGACUGGGAUAACUUCGGGAAACCGGAGCUAAUACCGGAUGAUAUUUUGAACCGCAUGGUUCAAAAGUGAAAGACGGUCUUGCUGUCACUUAUAGAUGGAUCCGCGCUGCAUUAGCUAGUUGGUAAGGUAACGGCUUACCAAGGCAACGAUGCAUAGCCGACCUGAGAGGGUGAUCGGCCACACUGGAACUGAGACACGGUCCAGACUCCUACGGGAGGCAGCAGUAGGGAAUCUUCCGCAAUGGGCGAAAGCCUGACGGAGCAACGCCGCGUGAGUGAUGAAGGUCUUCGGAUCGUAAAACUCUGUUAUUAGGGAAGAACAUAUGUGUAAGUAACUGUGCACAUCUUGACGGUACCUAAUCAGAAAGCCACGGCUAACACGUG
rnacentral:rRNA from 1 species